rnacentral:lncRNA from 1 species
AAAAGUCAAGAUCAACAAAAUUAAGAACCACAAAAAAGCCAUAAGAUAGGCAGUGCUGCUGACUCCAUAAUUUUGGUACAUGGCUGAUCAAUAAGCCAAUAAUUCCCGAUUGGUAGGUCGGGCUAAGGUUCCAAAUUCUGCAAAUGGGUGGAUGUGGUAAGACCCACCUAAACAUGCUCUCUUAACAGAGAGUAAAUAAUUGGAGAAAGUUUGAAAUAUUGGAUAGGCCGAGUCACAUAACUCAAUGAACAAUUUUUGAUCUAAGAAAUGUCAAAGACUAGAAUCAUUUUUUUUUUUUUAAAGUACAAACCCAUGAUAAAGGGACACUAAUUGAAAAACAAACAUAAGUUAAGUACCAAUAACUGACCCAACUCAUGGAAACAAUCAAACAAAAGAAGCAAAACAUAAAUUUCAGUGGUGGGUAAGAAGGCAAACGGAGGCAGCAAUGGCAAAAGCAAAAACCCAGCGGACUCCAGCGGAAUCCUUGCUCAUAGAAGCGAACAACAGCUCUUAGAAUGAUGGUUGUAACACCCAAGCAAGAAUGGAGGCACCAGCCCGGAGGACAAUAAUGGCGGCCAAACCAUUAUCAACACUUGCCACAUCUAUAACAUCGCCCUCAGCCCCUGCUUUUAUACCGCACCAGUCACUUCCCCGGCGACUGCAAGAGCCCAUCCUAUCCGCCUUCAGAACGGCACACAUCAAGCAAAAUCACCCACCAAACCAAAAUUGAAAAGGAAAAGGAGAAAAGAGAAGGGGAGGGCCACCGACAACAGUUGUUCUUCAUUUAUAAAUUAUAACAUAAGAAAUUUUAAUCAUAACUCAUUCACUCAAACUAGUGAUAUGGAGCAUAAUCAUGGAAUGAACUAUAUAUACGUUGUAACAAUUUUAAAUCCUUACUAUUCAGCUUGAGUAGUU